rnacentral:rRNA from 1 species
CCUACGGGGGGCAGCAGUGGGGAAUAUUGCGCAAUGGGCGAAAGCCUGACGCAGCGACGCCGCGUGAGGGAUGAAGGUCUUCGGAUCGUAAACCUCCGUCAGCAGGGAAGAACGGUCACUGUGCUAAUCAGCAGUGAAUUGACGGUACCUGCAAAGGAAGCACCGGCUAACUCCGUGCCAGCAGCCGCGGUAAUACGGAGGGUGCGUGUGUUAAUUGGAAUUGCUGGGCGUAAAGCGCUCGUAGGCGGUAUGUCAAGUCAAGGGUGAAAUCCCCGCGCUCAACGGUGGAACCGCCUUUGAAACUGGCAGACUUGAGUGUGUGAGAGGAAAGUGGAAUU